GGGGGUUCCCCCCCCUUCCUCUCUUUAAAAAUUGAGGUGGAAGAGAAAAGGCCCCCCCCACAAGAGAGGAAGGAAGGAAAAAUCGUUUUCUGAGGAGGAGUUUUCCACCCCCACCUGGGAGGGUGGAGACCCGGGCCCCCGAAUUUCUUUCGGGGGAGGCACACCAUUCGGGGAAUCUUGGGCCCCAAUGGGGGAAAAGCCCUGGAGGCAGCCAACCCCCCGGUGAGGGGACGGAAGGCCUUUCGGGUUCGUAAAACCCUUGCUUUUGGGGGACGAAGGGCGGAAGGGGUUAAUAGCCCCCUAGUCUGACGGGUACCCUUUGGAGGAAGCCCCGGGCUAACUACGUGCCAGCAGCCGGCGGUAAUACGUAGGGGGGCGAGCGUUGUCCGGAAUUAUUGGGCGUAAAGAGCGUGUAGGCGGUUCGGUAAGUCUGCCGUGAAAACCUGGGGCUCAACCCCGGGCGUGCGGUGGAUACUGCCGGGCUAGAGGGUGGUAGAGGCGAGUGGAAUUCCCGGUGUAGCGGUGAAAUGCGCAGAUAUCGGGAGGAACACCAGUAGCGAAGGCGGCUCGCUGGGCCAUUCCUGACGCUGAGACGCGAAAGCUAGGGGAGCGAACAGGAUUAGAUACCCUGGUAGUCCUAGCCGUAAACGAUGAACACUAGGUGUGGGGGGAGUCGAAUCCCUCUGUGCCGCAGCCAACGCGUUAAGUGUUCCGCCUGGGGAGUACGGCCGCAAGGCUAAAACUCAAAAGAAUUGACGGGGGCCCGCACAAGCAGCGGAGCAUGUUCUUUAAUUCGAUGCAACGCGAAGAACCUUACCUGGGCUUGACAUGGUGCUGCAAGCGCACGGAAACGUGUGACCUUCGAGGGUGCACCACAGAUGCUGCAUGGCUGUCGUCAGCUCGUGUCGUGAGAUGUUGGGUUAAGUCCCGCAACGAGCGCAACCCCCGUGGCGUGUUGCCAGCAUUAAGUUGGGGACUCACGCCAGACUGCCGGUGACAAACCGGAGGAAGGUGGGGAUGACGUCAAGUCAUCAUGGCUCUUACGUCCAGGGCUAGAAACGUGCUACAAUGGCGCAUACAAAGGGCAGCAAGACCGCAAGGUGGAGCGAAUCUCAUCAAAAUGCGUCUAAGUUCGGAUCGGGGUCUGCAACUCGACCCCGUGAAGGCGGAGUUGCUAGUAAUCGCGGAUCAGCAUGCCGCGGUGAAUACGUUCCCGGGCCUUAUACACACCGCCCGUCACACCACGGGAGUAGGCAAUACCCGAAGUCGGCGCAGCCAACCUCUUUUGAGGAGGCGGUCGGCGAAGGUAGGGCCUGCGACUGGGGUGAAGUCGUAACAAGGUAGCCGUCGAAUG
rnacentral:rRNA from 1 species